rnacentral:rRNA from 1 species
UACGUAGGGAGCUAGCGUUGUCCGGAAUCACUGGGCGUAAAGCGCACGUAGGCGGGUUGUUAAGUCAGGGGUGAAAUCCUGGAGCUCAACUCCAGAACUGCCUUUGAUACUGGCAACCUAGAGACUGGAAGAGGUUAGUGGAAUUCCCAGUGUAGAGGUGAAAUUCGUAGAUAUUGGGAAGAACACCAGUGGCGAAGGCGGCUAACUGGUCCAGCACUGACGCUGAGGUGCGAAAGCGUGGGGAGCAAACAGG